GUCAACUCAAUGUACUCAAGAAAGCAAACACAAAUAGACUUGGCAAGCCUCUAAUGUCAACACUCAAAGACAUAUGCAUGUUCAAAUCAAAAGGUCUUUUAUGGAUGUAAUGGGGCCAAGGACAAGGGAGGAUAAAUAUGGGUGAGAAGCUACAAACCAAAGGAAACAGAGGAGCAAUGGGGAACAAGUGUAAACACAGUAUACUCACACCCAAAACCUCUAAUUCCAUCCUCUUCCUGACUCCUUUAUUCACAAUUUUUUUUUAAUUCUUUCUCAUUUUUCUGUAUUUAGUUUUCCUUUUUUUUUUUUCAUCUUGUCUCUUUUCUUUUCUCUCUUUUCAGAACACAACUCUAAGAGACAAGAUACACAACAUAUU
rnacentral:lncRNA from 1 species